UACGAAGGGGGCUAGCGUUGUUCGGAAUUACUGGGCGUAAAGCGUGCGCAGGCGGCGCGUUAAGACAGGUGUGAAAGCCCCGAGCUUAACUUGGGAAUUGCGCUUGUGACUGGCGUGCUGGAGUGUGGCAGAGGGAGGUGGAAUUCCACGUGUAGCAGUGAAAUGCGUAGAGAUGUGGAGGAACACCGAUGGCGAAGGCAGCCUCCUGGGCCAGCACUGACGCUCAUGCACGAAAGCGUGGGGAGCAAACAGG
rnacentral:rRNA from 1 species